rnacentral:rRNA from 1 species
CCUGAAUACAUAGGGUAAGGAAGACAGACCCAGGGAACUGAAACAUCUAAGUACCUGGAGGAAGAGAAAGCAAAUGCGAUUUCCUGAGUAGCGGCGAGCGAAACGGAACAUAGCCCAAACCAAGAGGCUUGCCUCUUGGGGUUGUAGGACAUUCUAUACGGAGUUACAAAGGAACGAGGUAGACGAAGCGACCUGGAAAGGUCCGUCGUAGAGGGUAACAACCCCGUAGUCGAAACUUCGUUCUCUCUUGAAUGUAUCCUGAGUACGGCGGAACACGUGAAAUUCCGUCGGAAUCUGGGAGGACCAUCUCCCAAGGCUAAAUACUCCCUAGUGAUCGAUAGUGAACCAGUACCGUGAGGGAAAGGUGAAAAGCACCCCGGAAGGGGAGUGAAAGAGAUCCUGAAACCGUGUGCCUACAAAUAGUCAGAGCCCGUUAAUGGGUGAUGGCGUGCCUUUUGUAGAAUGAACCGGCGAGUUACGAUCCCGUGCAAGGUUAAGUUGAAGAGACGGAGCCGCAGCGAAAGCGAGUCUGAAUAGGGCGUUUAGUACGUGGUCGUAGACCCGAAACCAGGUGAUCUACCCAU